rnacentral:misc_RNA from 1 species
AAGUCGUAACAAGGUUUCCGUAGGUGAACCUGCGGAAGGAUCAUUAUUGAAUUUAAUGAAGAGUUUGGUUGUAGCUGGUCCAAUGGAUUUUUAAAUUAAAAAUUAAAAAUUGGGCAUGUGCACACCUUUCUCUUUCAUCCAUACACACCUGUGCACCUGUGAGACAGAUUCAAGGGAACUUUCUUUUUUUUCUAUGAGGGGGACCCUGCUGUCUAUUUAAUUUAUAUAAACUCAAUUUAAUUUAAAAUGAAUGUAAUGGAUGCAACACAUCUAAUACUAAGUUUCAACAACGGAUCUCCUGGCUCUCGCAUCGAUGAAGAACGCAGCGAAAUGCGAUAAGUAAUGUGAAUUGCAGAAUUCAGUGAAUCAUCGAAUCUUUGAACGCACCUUGCGCUCCUCGGCAUUCCUUGGAGCAUGCCUGUUUGAGUAUCGUGAAAUAUUCAAAGUAAAUCUUUUGUUUACUCAAUUGGUUCUACUUUGGUUUUGGAGGUUUAUUGCAGCUUCACACCUGCUCCUCUUUGUGCAUUAGCUGGAUUCUCAGUGUUAUGCUUGGUUCCACUUGGCGUGAUAAAUUAAUUUAAUCGCUGAGGACACUCUCUAUGACUAAAUAGGGGGUGGCCAAGGUAAAUACAGAUGAACCUGCUUCUAAUAGUCCAUUGACUUGGACAAUAUAAAUAUUUAUUAUGAUCUGAUCUCAAAUCAGGUAGGACUACCCGCUGAACUUAA